rnacentral:lncRNA from 1 species
AUUCCCCAAUGAGAUGGUCUUUUUGAUCAGUUCUCUCAGAACCCUCUGCAGAAAUGAUCAGAGACUUGAACACCGAGGCAGACAAGCCAAUUCGGUAUUGAGCAAGAUACCUUGGACUGAGAAAAUCUCCUGAGAAGAGGGCAUGCAGAAAGGAGCAAGGCCGAACAACUUCGACUUUCCUUUCUUGGAUUCAUUACAAACAACAUAGAUGUGGAUGCUCAAGUCCUCUGAUGGUCCUUAAAAAUAGGCAGGUCUUUGAAAAGGAAUAACCAAAGUAAGAAGAAGCUCCAAGAAUAUUUGGAGCAAUUACUAUUGACUGGAUGGAGAAGAUGGAAGAAAUUGCCUUUCAUUCAGGGCAUGGAAUCUCAACACUACAGCAGUUAUACCAAGUGGCCCAGCAUCAUCUUCCUGACCCCUCCCAUCGAUAAAUGUCCACAUCUUUAGAGGCUAAAGGAACACACACAUGAAUUAUAUUGUGUAAAAUGGGUUUUUAAUCCCACCUGAAUGAACAGGAACUUUUUUCUUACAUUGGCCCAUGUAUGCUACUGAGAUCAACAUGCGCUAAGAGGAAAACCAAAAUGAAAGUUUCUAUUGGUUGGUGAAAAGCAAGAUCUUCGUCUUUCCCGUCCGGUUGGAGGCUACUCUUCUCCCAAGUGCCCAUUAUGUGGCAGGUUCUCAGAAAUUAUUGAUCAAGAGAAAGAAGAUGGAUUCUUGCCCUCCAGGAGGUCACUUCCGAGGCAGUACAUAAGACAGCUGCAUACCAGGUAGCUGGUACUGACUGGCUGAUGAAUGACACACAGCGCUGAGAGACGGAAUGCUUCUGAUCAGAUCGAAAGGCAGGCUGCAUUGGAAAGUGGUGCUUCCAGCUGAAAUCAUGGUGCCCUCCCUUAUCAGAACACGGCUCAAUCAAUUACAAAUAUCACUCCAGCUCCGGUCACUCAAACAGGGACAUCAUCUCCUCUUUCUUUUCUGGGUUAGAACUUUUACCUUAUCAUGGUGAUAACUGACUACAUUAAAUUCCUUCUGAUGCUCCAACCAAUUAACAGGAAUUUAGUGGCUCUACAAGAACUUUAGAUUGCCUCACAUUGCUGUAGAAGCCAGCAUUUCUCAAUCAGUUUUAGCUGGCUAAAGUCAGAGACAUGGUCAGGGGAGCAGGGCUGGUCACCAACGCAGCUUUGGCAGAGAAUCACUUCCUGGUCUUUUUGUCGCCACUGCAUUCUGCCACACUCAGCCGUCAGCUCUCUCUUCAGACCCAGCGGUGAACACCCUUCCAUCUGUCUGUCAUCAGAAUUUCCCUCUACUUCACUCUCAAGAGGGAGUUUUUGUGGUUGCACUAAGUUGUGCCUGGAUAAUCCAGGAUAAUCUCCUCAGUUCAGGAUCUCCAAAUAAACUCCAGCUACAAAUUUCACGAGCCACGCAUUCACAGUGUUAGGGCCUGGCGGGCAUUAUACCUUCAUGGAGCAGCCAGUAAAAAGAGGAAGGAGGUCAUAUCUUACAAACCUUUUUUUCAUUGAACUUAAUUUCUGUGUAUGUAUUUGAGCUACUGUGUGUUACUAGUACUGUGGAAUGUGAGGCCUCUAGUGUUUUUUUUUAAGAAGCAGAGAAGUAGAUCAAAAUGAUCCAGGAUGAAGUACAAAAGACAAGGGGCAAGGAAAGAAAUACUCAAAGCCUUGUAAAUGGGAGCUCAGGGGCCAGUGUUGCCUGAGUCAUGCCUGCAGCCAUUUCUGAUAAACGGGAAAGAAGACCUACAUGAAGAAUGGCACUGUGAGCUGAGUGGGCAGAUGUUCUUUAAAUGAGCAAUUUUUACAUAAUUCAGGGAGAGGGUUGAGUGGUGAGCUUGUAACUAUCUCUCUUCUUCCAAAAUUAUUUUGAUUUUAACUAAUCUCUGUAUAUGCUUGUAUUUUUGUGUAUGUAUAUGUGUAUUUCUGUAUAGGUUAGAAGAAGAAGUUGAACUCCCCCAGAACUGGAGUUACAGGUGGUCGUGAGCCACCUAAUAUGGGUACUGAGAACUAACUUUGGGUUCCUUGCAAUAGCAGCAAGCAUUCUUAACUGUUCUUCAUGGUAGAAUUUGGCCAUUCAAGUGAUCACAUAAUUACUCUCAUCAGGAGACAUUUGCUAUGUACACAAUUGACUUUUGUGCAUAGUCUUUGGAGAGAUUUUAUUUAUUUUAGACUAUUAAAUUCCCCUUCCUCCACUU